rnacentral:rRNA from 1 species
AGCAUGGCUUAAUAGUUCUCAGGUUGCUUUGCAGCUGGCUGACCUUCUAGAGGAACUAUGCCGUUUAGUCAUGUAGUAUGAGCCAUACCAGGUCCUGUGAUGCAUAGAUGUCUGGCCGCACGCGCGCUACACUGAUGCAUUCAACAAGCCUAUCCUGGACCGAAGGGUCUGGGUAAUCUUUGAAACUGCAUCGUGAUGGGGAUAGAUUAUUGCAAUUAUUAGUCUUCAACGAGGAAUGCCUAGUAAGCGCAAGUCAUCAGCUUGCGUUGAUUACGUCCCUGCCCUUUGUACACACCGCCCGUCGCUCCUACCGAUUGGGUGUGCUGGUGAAGUGUUCGGAUUGGCAGCUUAGGGUGGCAACACCUCAGGUCUGCCGAGAAGUUCAUUAAACCCUCCCACCUAGAGGAAGGAGAAGUCGUAACAAGG